AAUAGAGAAAUCGGCCCAGGAGACAACGAUACCUUUUAGCAACUGAAUGCGAUUUUCUUAUUCCCACAGGAGUUGGGGAAGUACGGAGUGCUUUUCUACAAUGCCUGCUUCAUGCUCAUCCCAACUGUCAUUAUUAGCGUCUCUACUGGAGACUUUCAGCAGGCCACUGAAUUCAGCCACUGGAAGAAUGUUUUGUUUAUCGUACAGUUUCUUCUUUCCUGUCUUUUGGGGUUUCUGCUGAUGUAUUCCACAGCUCUUUGCAGUUAUUACAACUCAGCUCUGACCACGGCGGUGGUUGGAGCGAUCAAGAACGUAUCGGUUGCCUACAUUGGGAUGUUGGUUGGUGGAGACUACAUUUUCUCCCUCUUAAACUUUAUAGGGUUAAAUAUUUGCAUGGCAGGUGGUUUAAGAUACUCCUUUUUAACACUAAGCAGCCAGUCGAAACCUAAACAACCUGUGGAUGAAGAAAGCCUCCCUCUGGAUCUGAAGAGCUAGACUGCAGACAGAGCUGCAGGCCUAGGCUGGAAAGAGCAGCCCCAGCAGGAGUGGGCAGCCCAGAGGUCCCACCCAUGGGGCAGUCACCUGUUUGGUCAGAGCACAAAAAGGAAUGUCUGGGAAAUACAAAGAAAGCUACCUCAUACUGCAUAAUGAGCCACAAGGAACCCAUAACUCCUGGUACAGAACCUUCCUAUCUAAGCGAAUUUGCUCAAAGUCAGCCAUGGGGCCCUCACUGUGUGCUGAGGAAGAUAUUUCCAAGGUGACUUUGCUUAUCAGCACCAUGGCCUUAAUUUUAAAGGUCCCAGCCAAGGAAAAGGAGGGAAAACUUUUUGCUGUUGAAACAUGUCUUUGUAAGAGUUGGUCAGUUUUGAUUUAUGCUAUGUUGGUAUUUUUUUUUUCCCAAGUCAUCACAGUGAAAUAAAGUCAUUUCUAUAUGUGCCACACAGUAU
rnacentral:lncRNA from 1 species